UAAAAUAAUUAAGGGCACACAAAGGAUGCCUAGGUAGUAAGAGCCGAUGAAGGACGUGGUAAGCUGCGAUAAGCCUAGAUAAGUUGCAAUCGAACGUAAGAGUCUAGGAUUUCCGAAUGGAGCAAUCUAUUAAGAUGGAGUCUUAAUACGAAAGAGGGAACCACGUGAACUGAAACAUCUAAGUAACGUGAGGAAAAGAAAGUAAAAACGAUACCCAAAGUAGCGGCGAGCGAAAUGGGUCAAGCCUAAACCUUAAAUAUGUCAAGGAUACAGCCGUUGUAUUUAAGGGGUUGUGGGACAGAGUGAUGAAGAACUGUAAGAUAUUCAAUAUAGUGUAUUGAUGAAUUAGAAUUGUCUGGAAAGGUGAACCGCAGAAGGUGAAAGUCCUGUAUAAGUAAAUCCUUACACAUAUAACUUUGCUCCCAAGUAACAUGGAACACGAGGAAUUCUGUGUGAAUCAGUGAGGACCAUAUCUCAUAAGGCUAAAUACUCUUACUAACCGAUAGCGCAUAGUACCGUGAGGGAAAGGUGAAAAGAACCCCUGGAGGGGAGUGAAAUAGAACCUGAAAUUGUGUGCUUACAAGCGGUCAGAGCCCAUUAGGGUGAUGGCGUGCCUUUUGGAGAAUGAUCCUGCGAGUUACGUUAAACGGCGAGGUUAAGUAUAACGGAGCCGAAGGGAAACCAAGUCUUAAUAGGGCGAUAUAGUCGUUUAGCGUAGACGCGAAACCUGGUGAUCUAAACCUGUCCAGGAUGAAGCUGUGGUAAGACACAGUGGAGGUCCUAACCCACCGCCGUUGAAAAGUUGGGGGAUGAGGUAGGUUUAGGGGUGAAAAGCCAAUCGAACCAGGAGAUAGCUCGUUCUCUCCGAAAUGCAUCUAGGUGCAGCCUUGAGUGUUCAAUUAUGGGGGUAGAGCACUGAAUGAUCUAGGGGGCAUAUUGCUUACUGAAAUCAAUCAAACUCCAAAUACCAUAAUUUAUAGCUCAGGAGUGAGACCAUGGGAGUUAACUUCCAUUGUCAAAAGGGAAACAACCCAGACCACCAGCUAAGGUCCCUAAUUAUAACUAAGUGGGAAAGGAGGUGGAGAUUCACAAACAACUAGGAGGUUGGCUUAGAAGCAGCCAUACCUUUAAAGAGUGCGUAAUAGCUCACUAGUCGAGAGUCUCUGCGCCGACAAUGUAACGGGGCUAAGUUAUAAACCGAAGCUGUGGAAUCCUUAUGGAUUGGUAGGAGAGCGUUCUGUAGGCUGUUGAAGAAGAAGGGUAACCAACUUUGGAGGUAUCAGAAGUGAGAAUGCAGGAAUAAGUAGCGAGAAAGGGGGCGAGAAUCCCCCUCGCCGGAAGACCAAGGUUUUCAGGGUAAAGCUUGUCUUCCCUGAGUAAGCCGGGACCUAAGCCCAGGCUAUAAUGCGUAGGCGAAUGGAAAACAGAUUAAUAUUUCUGUGCCAGUCAUUUAUUGUGAUGGAGGGACGCAGAAGGGUAUGUGCGCGGACGAUCGGUUGUGUCCGUAGAAGUAUGUAGGGUGACUUAGUAGGUAAAUCCAUUAAGUUAUAUCUGAGGUAUGAUAUACAGUCGUAAGAUGAAUGUACAAAUCCCACGCUGCCAAGAAAAACUUCUAACGUUAAUAUAUGACUGCCCGUACUGUAAACCGACACAGGUGGUCAGGAUGAGAAAUCUAAGGCGGACAGGCUAACUCUCGUUAAGGAACUCUGCAAAAUAACCUCGUAACUUCGGGAGAAGAGGAGCCCUUGUGUGUGAGUAUACACGCGAUACAAAGCACACGAGGGUCGCAGUGAAGAGGCUCAAGCAACUGUUUAACAAAAACACAGGUCUAUGCUAAGCUGGAAGGCGAUGUAUAUGGGCUGACACCUGCCCAGUGCUGGAAGGUUAAGAGGAGGAGUGAGAGCUCCGAAUUGAAGCCCCAGUGAACGGCGGCCGUAACUAUAACGGUCCUAAGGUAGCGAAAUUCCUUGUCGGGUAA
rnacentral:rRNA from 1 species